rnacentral:rRNA from 1 species
UACGUAGGAUGCGAGCGUUGUCCGGAAUUACUGGGCGUAAAGAGCUUGUAGGCGGUUUGUCGCGUCGUCUGUGAAAAAUCACAGCUCAACUGUGAGCUUGCAGGCGAAACGGGCAGACUUGAGUACUGCAGGGGAGACUGGAAUUCCUGGUGUAGCGGUGAAAUGCGUAGAUAUCAGGAGGAACACCGGUGGCGAAGGCGGGUCUCUGGGCAGUAACUGACGCUGAGAAGCGAAAGCGUGGGUAGCGAACAGG